ACACAUGCAAGUCGAGGGGUAUAGUUCUUCGGAACUAGAGACCGGCGCACGGGUGCGUAACGCGUAUGCAAUCUACCUUUCACAAAGGGAUAGCCCAGAGAAAUUUGGAUUAAUACCUUAUAGUAAUACGACUUGGCAUCAAGAUGUAUUUAAAGAUUUAUCGGUGAAAGAUGAGCAUGCGUCCCAUUAGCUAGUUGGUAAGGUAACGGCUUACCAAGGCAACGAUGGGUAGGGGUCCUGAGAGGGAGAUCCCCCACACUGGUACUGAGACACGGACCAGACUCCUACGGGAGGCAGCAGUGAGGAAUAUUGGACAAUGGGCGCAAGCCUGAUCCAGCCAUGCCGCGUGCAGGAUGACGGUCCUAUGGAUUGUAAACUGCUUUUAUACAGGAAGAAACACUCGGACGUGUCCGAGCUUGACGGUACUGUAGGAAUAAGGAUCGGCUAACUCCGUGCCAGCAGCCGCGGUAAUACGGAGGAUCCAAGCGUUAUCCGGAAUCAUUGGGUUUAAAGGGUCCGUAGGCGGUCAGAUAAGUCAGUGGUGAAAGCCCAUCGCUCAACGGUGGAACGGCCAUUGAUACUGUCUGACUUGAAUUAUUAGGAAGUAACUAGAAUAUGUAGUGUAGCGGUGAAAUGCUUAGAGAUUACAUGGAAUACCAAUUGCGAAGGCAGGUUACUACUAAUAUAUUGACGCUGAUGGACGAAAGCGUGGGUAGCGAACAGGAUUAGAUACCCUGGUAGUCCACGCCGU
rnacentral:rRNA from 1 species